rnacentral:rRNA from 1 species
UACGGAGGAUCCAAGCGUUAUCCGGAAUUACUGGGCGUAAAGAGUUGCGUAGGUGGCAUAGUAAGUCGGCAGUGAAAGCGUGGGGCUCAACCCCAUAACCAUUGUUGAAACUACUAAGCUAGAGGACAAGAGAGGUCACUGGAAUUCCUUGUGUAGGAGUGAAAUCCGUAGAUAUAAGGAGGAACACCGAUGGCGUAGGCAGGUGACUGGCUUGUUCCUGACACUAAGGCACGAAAGCGUGGGUAGCAAACGGG